rnacentral:rRNA from 1 species
CCUACGGGGGGCAGCAGUGAGGAAUAUUGGUCAAUGGACGAGAGUCUGAACCAGCCAAGUAGCGUGAAGGAUGACUGCCCUAUGGGUUGUAAACUUCUUUUAUAUGGGAAUAAAACGUUCCACGUGUGGGAUUUUGUAUGUACUAUAUGAAUAAGGAUCGGCUAACUCCGUGCCAGCAGCCGCGGUAAUACGGAGGAUCCGAGCGUUAUCCGGAUUUAUUGGGUUUAAAGGGAGCGUAGGUGGAUUGUUAAGUCAGUUGUGAAAGUUUGCGGCUCAACCGUAAAAUUGCAGUUGAAACUGGCAGUCUUGAGUACAGUAGAGGUGGGCGGAAUUCGUGGUGUAGCGGUGAAAUGCUUAGAUAUCACGAAGAACUCCGAUUGCGAAGGCAGUUCACUGGACUGCAACUGACACUGAGGCUCGAAAGUGUGGGUAUCAAACAGGAUUAGAUACCCUGGUAGUC